GUUGGAAAUUUGUCUGGCCGAAGAUACAAAUCCAGAAGAUCAGCCGAGUUGUCCUGCAAAGACCUGCAAUAGCAGUUCAAGUGGAGAUACUGAAGUGGACUCAGAUGACACAAUAAUAUUACAACACAGUCCUACAACAAGACGAAGAGUUGAAGACACCUCUCUUGCCAAAGUGGUUGCUGUCAUUGGAGAGGAUGCAUCAUCCGUUGAAGGUCAUGUGAAUGUCCUGCAUAUCCAGUACAGCAAGGUGCGAGAGGAUAUACUAAAGAAGUACCCUUUCUUGAAGACAACCUCAGGGUUGUUUGAUGUUGACCAAGUGCAUCCAUCACCUGUCAGUUUAAGCCAGCGCUUCAAGGACGGCGUUUACCAGUAUUGUGCCAAAGGUGCUUGAGCUUGUUCAAAGAAAAGCUCCAUUAGCCAAAGUCUCCAAA